UCCGGCCUCAUUGCCCCGGAACCAGGAUUUUCCUCCUGGACGAGGAAGACGCAAACAACUCUACGAGGUUUUUCUUCCCAGCAUUCUUCUUUGUUUUUAAUCUUUCAGUAUUUUCUUUUUUUAAGAGAUGAAGUCAACUUUCUGGAGGUUGAGGUGUCGGUCUCCAGAAUGUAGUCCCCGGAGGAACGCACGCUCUCGCGGCCUCAAGGGGUGGACAGAGUCUUGGCAAAGGGGGCCCUCGGAGGAUCUACGCCGUUAGCGGAGCUAAGUCCGCGGCUUCUAGGGCAGGAGGGGAGGAGCCUGGAAAGGCAGAGGAAACCGCUGGUUCAGACGCCGGUUCAACGACCGGCGUGGGACCCCCGAGUAGCUGGGGCGGGGUCACCAAGAGGAGACCCGGUGGGAGAGGGCGUGGCGAGCAGGUCGGGCGGGGACUUGUGGGCUCUCCUACUGGGGAGAAAGCGAGAGGCUCUGAGCGUGGGCCGCGGCGCGAGAGGGAGGUACCACGACUUAAUACUUCUGACUGGCCCGACGCGGGGGCGAGUGCAGAGAAGCGGAAAGGCCGGUGAGGAAAGGGGGAUUGCGUUCUCCCAGGAAAGAGAUAGUGAGCGCUUGGGCCCGGGGUUGUGGCAGUGCAGGGGGUGCGCAGUGGCCAGAUUCUGGUUGUAUUUUGAAAGUAGAGCCGCCGGCAUUUGCGGACAAUCGGGGAACAUAUGGGUGUGAAAGAGAAGAGUGGACGGUGACUCCAGCGGUUCUGGCCAGAGCUACUGGAAGGAAGGACACGGUUGUCAUAUUCUGAGUUGGGCGAGGACCAAGUUUGUCGAGGAGGCUGGAGGUGGAGGCGGAGCGAGAAUAAGUAUCCUGCAGUCUUCAAAGAAAGUGCCGGUUGUGAAAGACGGCGCAAAGGCAGAAGGGCACGGAACGAGAAUUGGCAACUAAAUGCAGCAAGGGAUUCCAGACUGGGUCCUGGGCCCGGAAAACAAAUCUCUCUAAAGGACGCUUUGGGAUAGCUGAAGAAAUCUGAACUUGGGAGUGUAGCUUAUAGUAUGGUGUUCAUGUCAAACUUCCAGAUGGCCAUGUUCCCAGGAAACACACACUUAAGUUUAUCUGGGGGGUGAAGGGACAUUGCAUGUGCAACCUACAAGUGGUUCAAUAAAGAAAAAUAUAUGGGUGGGUGUGUGUGCGUGGGUGUGUGUUUGGGGGGAGAAUAUUAUAAAAGGAGAGAGUUAUAAAGCAAAAUGUGGCCCUGUUGACGGUUGGCAGACCUGGGUAAAGGGUACGGAGAAAUUCUCUGUAUAACUCUUGUAACUUCCGUGUGUGUGUGUGUGUGUGUGUGUGUGUGUGUGUGUGUUUUGAAUGGGAGAUUGAACGGGGGCGGGGCGGGUCGCUUUACCAAUGAGCCAUAUCCCCAGCCCUUUGUUGAGACAGGGUUUCACUGAGUUACUUAGAGCCUCGCUCAAAUGCUGAGAAUGACCUGGAACUUGCUGUCCUCCUGCCUCAGCUUCCUGAGCCGCUGGGAUUACAGGAAUGCGCCACCACACCCCGCCAAGUGUGAAGUUAUUUUAAGAUUAUUUCAAUAAUGUAGAGAGAGGAUGAGAGGAAAGUUGGGAGGGAAAAAUAUAGACGACUGUUUGUGUUAUGGGCCAGGCUACAUGGGAAUGACCAAACAGACUUCAUUUUACUCUGAGACUCAUGUCAUAUAAGAAAUGCUUGUCCCAUGGGAAAGCCCCGCCCUCUGUACCCAUCAACAGUUAGUUUAGCAUGUUUGGCAACACAAAAUGGCAAUUCCUAUACAAUGUAAAAUUUUUCUCUCUUUGGUUCCCAUUUUGCUUGGACAAUGUACCCUCUCAGAGAAUGAUUGCUCAGCCGUUAGUAACCAUUCUUUAACUUGUACUCAACUAGGGUGGUUUUGACCCACUUCCCCUUCUCCUUAUGAUUUUGGAUCCCAUGACAUUUGUUUGUGGUUUUGAAUCAUAGCAACAGCCACUUAUGAUUAAUAUGGUUUUGGACUAUAAAAGGUGUACUCAAACCCCAGGAGGGGGUCGAAGGGUGUGGACUUGCAGCCUGGCCCUUGGCCUGCCAGCUGGUGGGUCCGGACUGCCGGCUGGUGAAUACAGAUGGUUCCGUCUCCUGCUUUUCGGUGAUUUAUUGCAACCUCGCCAUAACAUUUGGAGGAAUUUUCCUGCAAAAAGAGAAAUGGGGUGGUAGCUAGAGGGUGAAGUAGGUAGAGUUUAUGUUAAGGAGGAAAGAAAUAAUACAACUUACAUCCUGGUGGAAGAAGUCCAAUCCAGAAGCGAAUAUCGAUGAGGAGGGAGAAGAGAGUAGGAGAGAGUUGCCAGUGGCAAGGAGGGGUGCCCAGGUGCAGGGCAGGCCUUUGCCAGGAGCUGUGGCGGCUCAUCUGCAGCACCUGGGGGUGGGAGUGGGGUCACAGAUUUAAGAGGUGGGUGGAUACGUCCUGGGAACUCCUGGAAGCCUCCUGAUUGUAUCUGCAGGAUUUCCUCCUUGGGAAGCAAGGUAGUCAGUCAGCUGAGAGGGGGGCAGGUUGGAGAGGAAAGUAAGAAACAGAUGUCUGGAAAAGUGGAAGAUGAAUGGAGUAGGGAAGAAGAAGAUGAGUUAGCUGCUCUGCUCUGAGGGCAAAGUUACUCACCCCUUCUUCAACCUCCAGGGUGCGCGGGAUCCAGGGUUAUAGUUGUUCUUUGUUGUGGAUUGAAUGUUGAUGUCCUGCCCCCAGCCCCAACACCCAUUCCUGUGUAAAGGCCUAAACCCCCACUGGGGCUGUGUUUGGAUCUGGGGCCUCUGUGUAAGAAAGCGAUUAAGGAUAAAUGAGGUCAUAAGGGUGGGACCCUCAUCCAGUAGGAUUCCUGUGUUUAUAUGACAUCACAGGAAAGGGGCAAGGGAGCUGAGAAAAUAUGCAAAGAAAUUAAUCCAGGUAAAUGGAGAUGGAGGGACCCUGGGGGCAGGGGAAGGGGAGGCAGAGGAAGAAUAGUGAAAGGUGGCAACUGGAAGGUGGUUAGAGAGUGUCAUACUAGAAGUGGACAAGGUUUAUAGCAGUUGUUAAGGACAAGAUCCAGAGCCAGACCACGGGAGUGGUUGGCAGGGGUAGGCCCAACAUCCAGCAAAGGUGUUGGAGAGAUAUUUGAUAGACAAAAAAUAGGAAAGAGUGGCUCUGGCCUGAUCAAGGAGCAACAGUAGGCAGGUACCUGGGAUAGGCUCGAGUGGUUGCUGAACAGGGAAAUGGAGGAACACGGGCUCAGGAGCCCAAUCGCCCCUCAAAAGAAAGAAAAGAAGAAGCGGAAAAAGCAAAGAAGCAAGAAACGCACAGAGAAGAAAAUAAGCAGUAAAGAGAAUAAACAAAAGGGAAGACAGACCUAGAAAGGCAAAGUUCACUUAAACUGCUUUUGAACACUUCAUGGGUGAGGAGUACACCGUUCCUGGAAGUACUGCAAUACCAGGUCGAUGCGUGGAGUGGACGGAGCAAGCUCCUAUUCCAACUCCCUACUCCAAAAAUCCAUUUAAUAUACUGUCCUCAGAUAGAGGACGUAUCAGAUAUUAAACUGAUAAGAACAGAUACUACACUUGAUCUUAGCCAAAAGGCCGAGAAGCGAUGCUGUCCCACUCGCCCCUCGCCCUCACCGUCCUCCGCUGGCUCACUUUUAACUCGCGGUGAGCACCACGAUGCCUACUCCUACUCUCUUUUUCCUGGUGUCUCCUUGGGCAUCCCAUCGGGCCUACUAGACCUUCGUGAAGGUUCCCGAUUGGCCCCUUAGAUCGAGGAAUUUUAGCUGCCCUUGGCGGCUCUGGCGUUCAGGGGCGGGGGCGCCCUCCAAUACUUUGCAUGUCCCCGCCCCCUCACCGGAAAGGCGUGGCUACCGUGGGUCCCUUCCACCUGGCGACCGCUUCCAGGUCUCCAGGCAGCCCAGGGCGGGCUCUGCUCCCACUUCCAGACAUACCGAGACCAGAGAGGACCAGCGACUGCCGCUGACUCCGAGUCCAAGUCGGAGCCAGGAGCUCCGGAAAGCCAGAACUCGGUUUUGUUCCACGCACCUACUUCACACUCAAUCAGUAACUCUUCAGUGAAUGAGAUCGUGCCUCCCACACGCUCGGCCAAACCCCGACAAAUCGAGCUUGGGAUGGCUCCUUCUCAGUACUUCCCUGCUUCUUCAGGCCAUCUGCCCAAUGAUUCGCGUCCCCGUGUGCUUUCAUCCCGAGAAGGGGACGUCGCGGCUCCCCUUCACUGGAAUGGAACGCUUCCCGCCUCAAAUGAUUGACCUUUCGGUUUUCUCCUUGUGAUUCACUCCCGUGGAGUUUGCUCAGAUCCACGUGCACUCAAUGGGCUGGGCCCUGGUCGCGCUGUGUGCAGAGGUUGGCCGGAUGUCCUUGUGCUUUUAAUGAAAGCGCACCGCGGUGUCCUGGUGAUCCCGACCACCCUCGCUGCACCUGAACCUUGAAUUUCUAGGGGAUCCAGAACGUGGAGGGAGUUCUCAGGCAGCGCCACUCGCUCCAGCCUGGUCCUCAACACCUCAAACUUGGGAUUGCUUGCUUUGGGGCGGUCUGGGCCGGGGAUGGGGGCAGGUGGAAAACAGUCUAAGGCAAUAGAUACUUUUUUUUUUUUUUGGUACUGGAGACUCAAUUCACGACCCUUAGCCACUGAGCCACAUACCCACCCCACCCCACCCCCUUUAAAAAAAUUAUUUUCUAGUUGUACACAAUAACUUUAUUUUGUUUAUUUAUUUUUAUGUCGUGGGAGGCCAACCUUACACGUGACUGAGUUACACUCCCCGACUGGGUGCUGAGGCGCUCAGUCACAGAAAUGUGGCACCCUUCUUGGAUGCGAGGGUCGGUGUCUUGUGCAUGGGUGUGUCUCGCUACAGCCCCAUGGGUGAAGCUAUGCUCACCUGUUCCUUUGUAAUAGAACCCCUUGCCCUGUUAAGGAUAGAAUCUUCCAUGGAAGUGCCUUGUGUGUGUCCCCUUCUCUUACUGUGCCCUUGGGUGUGGCCUACCCAGGUGUCAGUCAACCUACUGACAGUGGACAUCAUGAAGAUACUCAGCCCCCUGAAACCUGACCCCUUGCCUCAUUUGAAUAGCUUCUCCUCAAUAAAAGGGGUCAGCGCGUGCUCUCGCUCUCUCUCUUUCUGCGGACCCUUAAGGUCAGAGGAGCCGUCACAGCAACCCCAAAGAAAAAGGUA